UUACGGCCAGGUCACGUUGAAACACCGGUUCCCGAUUGAGCACCGAAGUUAAGUAACAUCGAGCCUCGUCAGUACGUUGAUGGGUGACAGUUUGGGAAUAACAUAUGUUGUAA